rnacentral:rRNA from 1 species
GACGAACCGUGCGAACGUUAUUCGGAAUCACUAGGCUUAAAGCGUCGUGUAGGCGGGAGGGGAACGUCGGCCGCUGAAAUCCCCCGGACUUCGACCGGGGAAGGGGCGCCGAUACGGCCUUCCUGGAGGGACGUAGGGGGAGCUGGAACUUCCGGUGGAGCGGUGAAAUGCGUUGAGAUCGGAAGGAACGCCCGCGGCGAAAGCGAGCUCCUGGACGUCUACUGACGCUGAGACGCGAAAGCCAGGGGAGCGAACGGG